AUUGAACGCUGGCGGCAGGCUUGACACAUGCAAGUCGAGCGGAGAGAGGUAGCUUGCUACUGAUCUUAGCGGCGGACGGGUGAGUAAUGCUUAGGAAUCUGCCUAUUAGUGGGGGACAACAUUUCGAAAGGAAUGCUAAUACCGCAUACGUCCUACGGGAGAAAGCAGGGGAGCUUCGGACCUUGCGCUAAUAGAUGAGCCUAAGGCGGAUUAGCUAGUUGGGGGGGUAAAGGCCUCCCAAGGCGAAGAUCUGUAGCGGGUCUGAGAGGAUGAUGCGCCAGACUGGGAUGGGGACACGGCCCAGACGCCUACGGGAGGCAGCAGUGGGGAAUAUUGGACAAUGGUCGGAAGCCUGAUCCAGCCAUGCCGCAUGUGUGAAGAAGGCCUUAUGGUUGUAAAGCACUUUAAGCGAGGAGGAGGCUACUUUAGUUAAUACCUAGAGAUAGUGGACGUUACUCGCAGAAUAAGCACCGGCUAACUCUGUGCCAGCCGCCGCCGUAAUAC
rnacentral:rRNA from 1 species